GUGGGGAAUAUUGGACAAUGGGCGAAAGCCUGAUCCAGCCAUGCCGCGUGUGUGAAGAAGGUCUUCGGAUUGUAAAGCACUUUAAGUUGGGAGGAAGGGCAGUAAGUUAAUACCUUGCUGUUUUGACGUUACCGACAGAAUAAGCACCGGCUAACUACGUGCCAGCAGCCGCGGUAAUACGUAGGGUGCAAGCGUUAAUCGGAAUUACUGGGCGUAAAGCGUGCGCAGGCGGUUAUGUAAGACAGAUGUGAAAUCCCCGGGCUCAACCUGGGAACUGCCUCCAAAACUGCAUGACUAGAGUACGGUAGAGGGUAGUGGAAUUUCCUGUGUAGCGGUGAAAUGCGUAGAUAUAGGAAGGAACAACAGUGGCGAAGGCGACUACCUGGACUGAUACUGACACUGAGGUGCGAAAGCGUGGGGAGCAAACAGGAUUAGAAACCCGAGUAGUCC
rnacentral:rRNA from 1 species